GCGCCUGUAGCUCAGUUGGAUAGAGCAUCUGCCUUCUAAGCAGGUGGUCGCAGGUUCGAAUCCUGCCAGGCGCGCCA
rnacentral:tRNA from 27 species